AAGCGGCGAUCAAUCGAUGGAAAUCGAGGGUAAUCCGCUUGGAAAUUCAAUUGAUGCAUGGAGACAUUGCAUCCGUGGGGAGAAUCAGUUUUUUAAAGAUCCUGAUGAUUUUAGGCAUAUGCUGAAAAACUAUUCUAUUGCUAAUAAUCGAUCAUUUAAGUACAUGAAAAAUGAUCAACAAAAGAUCAUAGCAGUAUGCAUUCACGAAAACUGCAAAUGGAGGGUUUAUACAUCAUUGUACAAGUCAGAUAAGUUAUUUAGCAUUCGCAAGUGCAAUCUUGAGCACACUUGUGGUGAUGCUACUCUUCGUACAAGGGGUCAUCCUAAAGCCGAUGCUACAUGGAUUGCCCAAAUUAUGAAACGAAAAUUGAGAACGCAGCCAGCUUACACACCAUGUGGUAUGUUAGAAGAUAUCCGAGACGAUUAUGGUCUGGAGCUUCAGUACUACACAGCAUGGAGGGGUAAAGAAAAAGCAAUGCGUGAUAUCCAUGGUGAUGAGACGACAUGUUAUGAUAAACUGAGACGCUAUUGUCGUGCAUUAAAAAUGCAUAACCCUGGUAGCAUGGCAGAGUAUGAGAUUGAACCUGCUACUCAAAAGUUUAUUCGAAUAUUUAUUAGUUUUGGGAGUUCUAUUUCCGGCUUUUAUCGGUGUAGGCCGAUGAUAUGUUUGGAUGGGACUCACAUUAAAAAUAAGUACAAAGGAUGCUUGCUUUCUGCUGUGUGCAAGGAUCCAAAUGAUUCCUUAUAUACAUUGGCAUACGCAGUUGUUGAUGCUGAGAAUGAUAAAAACUGGGAGUGGUUUUGCAUUAAACUGAAACAAAUUCUAGAUCUUCACAAUGACAAUAGAUCUUUUACCAUUUUCUCUGAUCGUCAUUCGGGGCUUCUUAAAGCCGUCCCGUUGGUAUUUCCUAGUAGCCACCAUGCAUAUUGUUUGCGACACUUGGUGGAUAACUUUAGAACUCAGGUAUUUUGUCACCUCAUGUCAUACUUUUGUAUAACAUGUUUCAUACUUUUGUAUAACAUGUUUCAUACAUUUGUGUAACAUGUGUCAUACUUUUGUAUAACACAUUUCAUACAUUUGUAUAGCAUGUUUCAUACAUUUGUAUAGCAUGUUUCAUACAUUUGUAUAACAUGUUUCAAAAUAAUAUAGGUCCUGAGGAAGUACCCAUUGCACAACAAGUCAUACUGGGCGAGUGUUUUACAUAAUGCUGCAUAUGCUCCUACUCGGCAGGAGUUCGAUGCAACUAUUUCUCGUAUAGUGCAAUCUAUGCCUCUCGCGGCAUCAUUUAUUUCGAAUUCUGAUCCAAAUCAUUGGGCGAAUGCCUAUUUUUCUGGAGAAAGAUGGGGAAUCGUGAACAAUAAUCAGGCAGAAAAUUGGAAUGGUUGGGUUAAAGAUGCCCGAUCUUUGCCUGUUCCAUCCAUGAUUGAUCACAUACGGAUCAAAGUAAUGGAGAUGCUAGUUAAACGACAAGGAAAAAGUUUGGCAAUGACUGGCAUAUUGUGCAAGAAAAUUCUAAAGAGAUUAACAAUCAAUCAUAUGGCCUCUCGUUCCUUAAAAUAUUGUAGAUCAAGUAGUACCGCUUUUGAGGUAUAUGAUGAGGACAAGUCGUAUAAGGUUGACUUGCAGCAGAAGACUUGUUCUUGUAAAGCAUGGCAAUUAGAGAAACUUCCAUGCAAACAUGCAUGUGCAUGUUUGGAGUCAAAAGGAUACUCAGUAUAUGAGUUUGUGGAUCCAUGCUUUCAUAUUGAUACGUACAAACAGGUAUAUCAAUUCACGAUUAACCCAAUUCCCUCGUUUGAUGAGGACUUUGACUUGUACGAUGCGUGUAAUGCUCCGCCCGAUGUCUUUGUUAAUGCACCUGAUUCGAGAACUCGACCGGGACGUAGAAAGACAAAAAGAAUUCCUUCACAAGUGCAAACUCGUAAACUGAAUUGUACUCGGUGUGGGAAGCCUGGACACAAUCGUCGUACUUGCACACAACCAAUCUGACUACCAAUUUUUUUUAAUGGAGGACAAGAUGGAGGAGAGCUUACAUGAUUGCCCAUUAUGUUAUUCAAGUGAUUGAAGUGAAUGAAAACUGGCUGUUUGUACUUUAUUAUUAUGUGAUUUGCACUAUGUUGUUUUGAACUUUGUACUAUGUUUCAAUUUGCACUAUGUUUUUGCUAUUUGUAGUUUGUACUAUGUAUUAGGUACUCUGUUCAUUGAUGGUUUAUCAUUUUCAGUCUAAUGGUACUAUUUUUAUUUACACAUGGUAUUGGAUA